GAUGAACGCUGGCGGCGUGCUUAACACAUGCAAGUCGAACGGAAAGGCCCAAGCUUGCUUGGGUACUCGAGUGGCGAACGGGUGAGUAACACGUGGGUGAUCUGUCCUGCACUUCGGGAUAAGCCUGGGAAACUGGGUCUAAUACCGGAUAGGACCACAUUUUGGAUGGUGUGGUGGAAAGUUUUUCGGUGUGGGAUGAGCUCGCGGCCUAUCAGCUUGUUGGUGGGGUAAUGGCCUACCAAGGCGUCGACGGGUAGCCGGCCUGCGAGGGUGUACGGCCACAUUGGGACCGAGAUAAGGCCCAGACUCCUACGGGGGGCAGCAGGGGGGAAUAUUGCACAAUGGGCGCAAGCCUGAUGCAGCGACGCCGCGUGGGGGAUGACGGCCUUCGGGUUGUAAACUCCUUUCGCUAGGGACGAAGCGUUAUGUGACGGUACCUGGAGAAGAAGCACCGGCUAACUACGUG
rnacentral:rRNA from 1 species